rnacentral:pre_miRNA from 1 species
UCCAAUAUGCUGCCUUUGCCUGCAUUUGCACCUGCACUUUACUUGGUUUUCUCUCUUCAACCAUAUACCUUAGUCCACACAAUACACAUGUUAAAGGAAAAAAGAGAAGAUUACGUGGUGUAUGUGUGUGGGUAUGGAUGAGAAACCAAGCACAAGGUGCAGCUGCAUCUGCAGGUGAAUGACAUAUUGGU